CGAUAGAGUUCACUGCAUGUAACACCGAGUUUAGGAAAAUGUUGUAUUCAGAUCAAACUACUGAGAAGGUCGAGAUCAUACGAAAACGAUACUUCGCUAUUACCAAAUUCGCAAAACAAGUAGACGAUUUCCUGAAUCCAUAUGUAGUACUGGAAAUUGGUGUAUCCUUUACAGGAGUGUGUUUGUAUAUACAUGCUCUAGCCUACGGUAAUACCAGUCUUGUAAUCUUCCUUGUCUGGGUUGGAAUGCUGUUUUUAGCUACGUCGGAAAUGCUGCUAGUUUUAAAAUUUGGAGUAGCAUUAAAUGAAAGUACAAAACUGUGUUUAGAGACGACCCAAUAUGUGGAUGGGAGCAAAAUGAAUCAGGAAACAAUUUCUCUGGUCACCUUGUUUAUAGAAAACAUGAGAAGUGGAGAUGUCGGUCUGACUUUCAUGAAAUUAUUUAUUCUCGAUAAAACUACCAUGGUAACGGUGUUCGGGACGUUGGUCUCAUAUAUAAUAGUUAUCAUGCAGUUUAAACCAAGUUAAAGUACUGGUAUUUUUUGUCUCUUUAAAGCCUCGAUAUGCCAUUUUAGCGGUAUAGGAAACAAUGUUGUAAAAGAUGAAUCUCUAUUAGAAACAACAGUCUAAGAAUGGAUCAAUUUUGUUCUGUGCUGCCUUGAUAUGUAAUAAGUCCGUCGUCAUUUUGUUGCCCUCUUGACAUUUAUUGGCAGGCCUGUUUUAAAUCCGAUCGAAUCCAAACCGGAACAUCAUCUAGCGUUAUUAUUUGAUUUUGUUGUUUUAAUCAUAUACUACACAAUUCAAGCCGUGACAUCAUCUAGCGUUAGUAUUUGAUUAUUUUCUCUUAAUCAUAUAUUAAAUAAUAAACCUGAGUACAUAAUAUCAUUGAUUAGGACUUUAGACAUCUUCAU